UCAGGUGCCUGUUGAAGAUUCAUCAGGAUAAUCGGGAAGUAAGUGAAAAGCUUACGCUGCCCCCGCAACGGUAAUCACGUAUUGUUGUUUUCAAUACGAUUCCCUAUGCCACCGACUAUCGGGAAGGCGGGAAUUCAUGCCCCGGCAUGACUGAAAGCCCGGAGACCGGCCUGUGCU
rnacentral:ncRNA from 1 species